AAGAAGAAGGUUCCUGCUGUGCCAGAAACUCUUAAGAAAAAGUGAAGGAAUUUUGCAGUCCUGAAGAUCAAAUGCCUGAGAAAAAAGUUUAACCCAAAAGAUGCUUCUGAAGGCAAGGAGGAAACUUAUGAAAAAGUGAAGCACUGUUCCAAAGAAUAUAGGCAAAUGUAUAGAACUGAUAUUUGAUUGGAUAGGAUGGCAAGAAAAACUGACAACUUCUAUGUACCUGCUGAACCCAAAUUGACAUUUGUCAUCAGGAUCAGAAGUAUUAACGGUAUGAGUACAAAGGUCCAAAAGGUAUUCCAGCUUCUUUGCCUUCAUCAGGUCUUGAAAGGAAAUUUUUAACCUCAACGAGGCUUCAAUUAACAUGCUGAGAAUUGUAGAACCCUAUUUUGCAUGGGAGUACCCGAACCUGAAGUCAGUAAAUGAACUAAUCUAUAAGCAUGAUUAUGGCAAAAUCAGUAAGAAGUGAAUUGCCUUGACAGUUAACACUUUGGUCGAUCUCUUGGUAAAUAUGACAUCAUCAGCAUGUAGUACCUCAUUCAUGAGAUCUGUACUGUUAGAAAAUGCUUCAAAGAAACAGAUAACUCCCUGUGGCCCUUCAAAUCAUCCUCUCCAGGAUGUUCAAUAAAGAAAAAGACCACUCAUUUUGUAGAAGGCGGAGAUGCUGACAACAGGGAAGACCAGAUCAAAAGCCUUAGAAGGAUGA
rnacentral:lncRNA from 1 species